rnacentral:misc_RNA from 1 species
CACACAAACCCUGGUAGACAUUGGCCCCUCCUUUACGAGCAGCGACAAGGUAAAGAAAUCUCGAAACCUUUCGCUCGCCUCCGCCUGAAACGAGGAUGGUCAAGUUCUUGAAACCCAUUUAGGCGGUUAUCCUCCUCCAGGGUCGCUCCGCCCGCCGGAAGGCGGUGAUUUUCCGAUUCUUCGAUGACGGGACCCGUGAUCGCCCAUACGGCCACUGCCUGGUCGCUGGAAUAUCGAAGUACCCAUCGAAGGUGAUCAAUAAAGACUCA